GAUUUCUGGUUUGAUGUACCUGUCCCGCUGCAGCAAUGCAUGUGAGUGACGGAGUAUGUCUGCCAUCCUUCUAGAGAAUUCAAGCUAUCCUUUACUGGACCGGUUUGGGUCAUCUAGAUCUUUUACUUUGAAAAAAUUAGAGUGUUUCAAGCAGGCGUUUUGCUAUGAAUACAUUAGCAUGGAAUAAUGAGUUAGGACUUCGGUUCUAUUUUGUUGGUUUCUAGGACUGAAGUAAUGAUUGAUAGGGAUAGUUGGGGGUGCUAGUAUUCAGCGGCCAGAGGUGAAAUUCUUGGAUUCGCUGAAGACUAACUUAUGCGAAAGCAUU
rnacentral:rRNA from 1 species